AGAGUUUGAUCCUGGCUCAGGAUGAACGCUGGCGGCGUGCCUAAUACAUGCAAGUCGAACGAAUCUUCUUCGGAAGAUGAGUGGCGAACGGGUGAGUAAUACAUAGGUAACCUGCCCCUGUGCGGGGGAUAACAGGAGGAAACUCCUGCUAAUACCGCAUAGCCAUGAGCACCGCAUGGAGCUCAUGCCAAAUAUCCUUUCGGGGAUAGCGCAGGGAUGGACCUAGUGGCGCAUUAGCUUGUUGGCGGGGCAAUGGCCCACCAAGGCAACGAUGCGUAGCCGGCCGUGAGAGGGCGGACGGCCACAUUGGGACUGAGACACGGCCCAGACUCCUACGGGAGCA
rnacentral:rRNA from 1 species